UGCAAUUGAGGCCGAUGACACGGGGAAGGAGCUACAGGGGAGGGGGAGGAGGCCGAUGUCAGGGGGAAGGAGAAGGCCGGCUCGGAUGCAUGGUGCGAGGCAGUAAUAGCGGCAGUGGAUCGAGAGAAGUGGAGAAGAGGGUUCCUCCAAGCUCCAUCCAUGAAUGGCGCCGGUCCAAUGCUCAGGGUGGCAUGCGGCAAUGUCGGGGACCAGCGAGGAAGAUGACCGGUGUACAUCCUUUGGGAUAAAGUUGAAGACAUGGUGAGUCUUGUGGCGCGAAGCCAACAACACGCAGCGGCAAGUCGAGCACACUGGCCUGAGCCGCACACCAACACCAUCAGGAGUUCGAAUUAUUCUGUACCUCAAGAGAGAGGAACAACGGACAUUGAGGAUUGCGGUGGCUGAUUUUUUAAUUUGUGUUUGCCUCAAGGAUUCUCAUUUAUCUUAACUUCCAUUUACUCAAGACAAUUACAACAUUGGUAGAGAAACUUCUAUUUUGUUCUGUUCUUUGUUAUAUGAUACAGCCCAACAGAACUGAAGCAACUAAUUUAUUCAUGAAAAUGGUUAGUUUAAAGCUCGAAAGCUCAUACCGAGAUGGCUUUUUUCACAGCUUCAUGACGAAGUAAAAUAAAAGCUUAUGA